GAUGAACGCUAGCUACAGGCUUAACACAUGCAAGUCGAGGGGCAGCAUGAACAAAGCUUGCUUUGUUUGAUGGCGACCGGCGCACGGGUGCGUAACACGUAUCCAAUCUGCCCGCGGCUCGGGGAUAGCCCAUCGAAAGAUGGAUUAAUACCCGAUGGCGUGGUCACCCCGCAUGGGGUUUCCACUAACGGUUUUCCGGCCGCGGGUGAGGAUGCGUAUGAUUAGGUAGUAGGCGGGGUAACGGCCCACCUAGCCUUCGAUCAUUAGGGGUUCUGAGAGGAAGGUCCCCCACACUGGAACUGAGACACGGUCCAGACUCCUACGGGAGGCAGCAGUGAGGAAUAUUGGUCAAUGGGCGAGAGCCUGAACCAGCCAAGUAGCGUGAAGGAAGACUGCCCUAUGGGUUGUAAACUUCUUUUGUUCGGGAAUAAAGUGCAGUAUGUAUACUGUUUUGUAUGUACCGUUCGAAUAAGCAUCGGCUAAUUCCGUGCCAGCAGCCGCCGCCGUAA
rnacentral:rRNA from 1 species